AUCCCAGUUAAGAUGGAUUAAUUUUCAUAAGUUCUUACAUUGAUUCAUGGGAGGCCUAAAACAGUGCUGGAAGUUUCGCUGAUAAAUGCCUUUAUUUUAACUUUACACCAAGGUGUUUACUAGUAACUAUGCCACACACUC